rnacentral:misc_RNA from 1 species
AAUCCACUUAAGCCCCGCUUAGUGUUGGGAAUCUACUCUGGCGGAAGUUACCCGGGACUUACCCUGUAGCUACCCUGUAGUUCCUUAAAGAUAGCGGCGGAGUUGUAGUAUCCUCUGAGCUUAGUAGUAACCUUCUAGCUUUCGAGUAGCCACAACCCCUGCCGUAAAACACCCUUCUUCUGAAU